rnacentral:rRNA from 1 species
GUUUGAUAUCAUGCUCAUAUUGAACGCUGGCGGCAGGCCUAACACAUGCAAGUCGAGCGGUAGAGAGAAGCUUGCUUCUCUUGAGAGCGGCGGACGGGUGAGUAACGCGUAGGAAUCUACUGGUAGUGGGGGACAACAUUCGGAAACGGAUGCUAAUACCGCAUACGCCCUAAGGGGGAAAGGAGGGGAUCUAUUUAUAGACCUUUCGCUAUCAGAUGAGCCUGCGUAGGAUUAGCUAGUUGGUAGGGUAAAGGCCUACCAAGGCGACGAUCCUUAGCUGGUCUGAGAGGAUGACCAGCCACACUGGGACUGAGACACGGCCCAGACUCCUACGGGAGGCAGCAGUGGGGAAUAUUGGACAAUGGGGGCAACCCUGAUCCAGCCAUGCCGCGUGUGUGAAGAAGGCCUUCGGGUUGUAAAGCACUUUCAGUGGUGAGGAAAGGGUAACGGUUAAUAACCGUUACCUGUGACGUUAGCCACAGAAGAAGCACCGGCUAAUUCCGUGCCAGCAGCCGCGGUAAUACGGAAGGUGCGAGCGUUAAUCGGAAUAACUGGGCGUAAAGCGCGCGUAGGUGGUUGAGUCAGUCAGAUGUGAAAGCCCCGGGCUUAACCUGGGAACUGCACCUGAUACUGCUUAACUAGAGUACGGUAGAGGGCAGUGGAAUUUCCUGUGUAGCGGUGAAAUGCGUAGAUAUAGGAAGGAACACCAGUGGCGAAGGCGACUGCCUGGAUUGAUACUGACACUGAGGUGCGAAAGCGUGGGUAGCAAACAGGAUUAGAUACCCUGGUAGUCCACGCCGUAAACGAUGUCGACUAGCCGUUGGGAGACUUGCUCUCUUAGUGGCGCAGCUAACGCAAUAAGUCGA